rnacentral:misc_RNA from 1 species
AUUCGAAAAGCUCUGAAUCGUGGUGAAGCCUAUCACCAGCUGAUUUAUAAAAUAGCAUCUGUCGGAGGCGGUGAUUUUAGAGGUAUGUCUGAAAUGGAAGUAGAAAUUUGGAAUGAAUGCAAUCGGUUGAUUGCUUUAAUCGUCAUUUGUUAUAAUAUGCAUUUGUUAUCGAAGCUGUAUGAAAAUGCACUAGCGAAAGGCGAUAUAGCAGCAUUGAAUUUCUUAAAGCAUGUUUCGCCUGUGGCUUUUCA